UGUAGCUCACCAGGCCCACGUCUCCUGCACUGCAGGCCGAUUCUUUGCUAUCUGAGCCACCAGGGAAGCCCCCAAUAUAGGAAAAAGUUAAAAAAAAAAAAAAAGUGGAAGUCAACCAGAAGAUUAAUAUACUGCAUCCGGAUACAAUGUUCUCUGUCCUACCUCAGAGAGGGUGCAGCCUGGAAGGGUCUCAGCAGCCUGAAUGAACUAAGACAGUGGGGAAGAGAUGAACAUGGCAAUCCCAGGGGAGGAUUCCUGCACGCUUCUACUAAACACAGUCUAGGAUUACCACCCUUUCUCAGUUCUCAGAAACAGAUCCAACUGGACCAAUUCGCCUCACAUGGUCACCCCAGCCAAUCAACUCUUGCUGAGAGUCUGGAUCCCAUGGGAUAAACGUGGCUGCUUUGAGCAACUACCAAAAACGAAGGCCAGUACAAGCUGGACUACACUAAUUCCACACUUCUUUCAUAUGCUUGAGGUUCCAGCUGUCCUGGAGUUAAAGAUUCAGCUGAAAUCUGUGACCAAGUAGAAAUCUUAAUUCAAUGUGGAAAAUAUGGCUGCCAGACUUAGCAAAUAAAAGUACAAGAUGCCCAAUCAAAUUUGAAUACUUAACAAAAAAAAUUCGUCGCAUGUGAUAUUUGGGACCUACUUAUACUAAAAAAAAAAAAAAGCUUCAUUGUUUGAAGUUCAGGUGUAACUGAGCAUCCUAUAUUUAACUGCCAAAUGGAGUGGAAAGCUGGCCCUUUUGUGGGACUCUGAAUUCUUGACAUUUCCAAAAUAAUAAUCACAUCUCUGGGAAUUUAAGCACCCAGGACAGAUGUAAGGGUUUUGAAUAUGCCACAUCGAGGACACUGAGAGUGAAGCCAGCAUCCUGAGAGCAAGAGGUGGGCCUGCAUAAUUAUCAGUGAGUUAAAUUGCUUUGUUGCAGAGAGCUAGCUUAUUAAACAUGC
ensembl:lncRNA